rnacentral:lncRNA from 1 species
GUUUCUUUAUGCUGUGUUGUUAAGUGGGUCUUUUAACAGCUUUGCUGUUUCAUGUAGAGCUGUCCACUUGAAAUAAGAUGCAAAAAGCAGAAGCUACUGAUCGUGGACCUUGAGGUUGGAGGCAGCCCUUGCUUUCACCUGCUAAAAUAUUCAAAAUAAACCCUCUGUUAAAAUGCUGCUUUAUUUUUCUUCUUGGAAGAAACAAGAUUUAUCCAAGAAAACCAGAUUAUCCUCUCCCUACUCCUGUCCAGCCGCCCCAUUCCACAUUCAACAGAAAAACAAGAGUUCUUCUGGAGAGUAGAUGCCAACAUUAAUGACAAAAGGCAAAUUGCAAGAUUUGAUAAAGCUUUAUGCACCUCCUACUCAAAAGGAAACCUUCUCUAGUGGAGAAUGUGGACAGCAUCUUCUUUCCUUCUCCCAGAAUCUGCCUUUAUACCAUCCCAAGCAUCCAGCCUCAGGCCCAACAAGCAGCUGGGUGUCCUGUCAGCUGCUGACAGUUGUGUUUCCUUCACUUGAAGUGGGGCUAGUUCCUGGCAAUGUUGGAGCUGAUUAAAACUAUUCAAAAGAUCAGUUGAUUAAUCAAGACAACAGGAACAUCGAUCAGCAGGAACAAGAAUAUAAUAAGUACUCAGGAGGCCCUAAAGAAAAAUUUCUUUAAUAAAUUACAACCUCUCUUUCAUGAAGUCUGGAAGUGUCUCAUUCUUGUCUACUGAGCCAGCAGCUUCCCCUCCAGCCUCCUUGCACAACAGAGUUUGUUCACUAUCCAGCUUAGGAAAUAAGCUGGAAACACUCAAAGAGAUUUGUCAUGAAACCAAGAGAAAGCAGUAACCUAACCAUGAUAGAAUAAAGACAUUUUUUACAGUGGAACAACCUUCCCAAGAAUAUGGUGGAGCGCCCAUCACUGGAGGUGAUGGGGCAGUUGGGGCAAGCUGGGGCAGUCCCAGGGUGCCAGAUAGCAGGUUCCUUUUUCCACAAGAGGUUGGACCAGAAGAUCUUUCAUGGC